rnacentral:lncRNA from 1 species
UGAUAUCUCCCACCAUAAUUCACUCCCCCUUUCUCUCUCUACAAAACCCAGUUGUCUCUACAAACGUUCAUCAUUCUAUUCAAAUGUAGGGGGUCUCGAAGACGAUGACAGAGGGCUUGGUUGGUUGCCAUAUUGGUGUAACAAGAUGACAGUGAGGAAUUUCGGCUGAGCCAAACUUCCGGCGACCUAGACUAGGGUUCCAAUCAACUUCCGUGAGCAGUUAGGGAUUUUGGCGAGUAGAUUAGGGUUCCGGCGAAACCCUUUCACUACAUGUUGUCACCUCUGUCGACAAUGGAGAUGGGGGUUGUCACCAGAAGUUCUAAGGCCCGUAUUAGCAGCAUAAAGGAAUCUAUUGCUGAUGCAUUUUUUGGUCUUCAAAGGGCAGAAGACAUCGAUCGAUAGAGUGAUAGAGUGCUGAGAAACAUUAUUUCUUCUCUGUUCAACUGGAUUUCUCGUAGGACCAAUCAUAUGGAAACUU